rnacentral:rRNA from 1 species
GACAGAGGUGCCGAGCGUUAGGCGGAAUCACUGGGCUUAAAGCGUGUGUAGGCGGACUUCUAAGUACCUUGUGAAAUCCCACGGCUCAACCGUGGAACUGCUUGGUAUACUGGUUGUCUUGAGCCACUUAGGGGCAGUCGGAACAGACGGUGGAGCGGUGAAAUGCGUAGAUAUCGUCUGGAACGCCAAAGGUGAAAACAGGUUGCUGGGGGUGUGCUGACGCUGAGACACGAAAGCCAGGGGAGCGAACGGG